GAUGAACGCUGGCGGCGUGCCUAAUACAUGCAAGUCGAGCGAACAGACGAGGAGCUUGCUCCUUUGACGUUAGCGGCGGACGGGUUAUUAACACGUGGUUAACCUACCUAUAAGACUGGUAUAACUUCGGGAAACCGUAGCUAAUACCGGAUAAUAUUUCGAACCGCAUUGUUCGAUAUUGAAAUAUGGCUUUUCUAUCGCUUAUGGAUGGACCUGCGCCGUAUUAGCUAGUUGGUAAGGUAACGGCUUACCAAGGCAACGAUACGUAGCCGACCUGAGCGGGUGAUCGGCCACACUGGAACUGAGAAACGGUCCAGACUCCUACGGGAGGACGCAGCAGGGAAUCUUACGCAAUGGGCGAAAGCCUGACGGAGCAACGCCGCGUGAGUGAUGAAGGUCUUCGGAUCGUAAAACUCUGUUAUUAGGGAAGAACAAAAGUGUAAGUAACUGUGAACGUAUUGACGGUACCUAAUCAGAAAGCCACGGCUAACUCCGUG
rnacentral:rRNA from 1 species